rnacentral:rRNA from 1 species
UGAGCAAUCUGCCCUUCUCAUCGGAAUAAGCGUUGGAAACGACGUCUAAUGCCGAAUACGACCUCCUUUCGCAUGAUCGGAGGUGGAAAGCUCCGGCGGAGAAGGAUGAGCUCGCGGCCUAUCAGCUAGUUGGUGUGGGUAACGCCCACAAGGCGACGACGGGUAGCCGGCCUGAGAGGGUGGCCAGCCACAUUGGGACUGAGACACGGCCCAGACCUCCGUACGGGAGCAG